rnacentral:lncRNA from 1 species
UUAUGACCAGAUCUCCAGGCUGGAACUGCCGGAUCUUGGCCCUUUUGUUGUAGCUGGAGAGGAGCUGAUGUUGGUAGGCUGCGAUGCGAGUGAUAGUCUGUUCGCGCCUCUCUUCUUCCAGAUCUAAGCUUAUGGCCAUCUCUUUUCGGUUGCUCAUCUUUUGGUUGUGUGAUAUGCCCAUAAACAUCCUUGAAGUUCGUCUGGCCAUUUUCUUUUCUUAUUGGUGAAGUAGUCGGUUGCCACGAUCAUCAUGCCUUUGCCCCUAGUAGUCUGGCUGGUGAUUAGCUAGGACUCAGAAUGAAUUGAAAGCUUUUUCACCACCAAGUCUUUUGUCAUUCGAAGGCUUGCUAGUGGGGCUUCGUACUCUGCUUUGUUAUUAGAUGCUUUGAAGCUUAGAGUGAUUGCCUGCUUGAGCAUUGAAACGUUUGGGGUGGCAAGAACCACGGCUGCUCAUGAACCUUCGUAGUUGGAUGCGCCGUCGACAUGCAAACGCCAGAAAUCUCCACUGAGGGAGCAAGUGUGGCUAAAGUGUGCUCGGCUACCUUCGGGGCGUCGUUGGGCCGAGUUGUUUCGUUCGUCAGAAAACUUGCAUCUGCCAGGGUCUACGCCUUUAUCGUUGCUGGUUUGGAUUCGGCGGAAUAGUGCGUCAUGAUGAUGACUGCUUGCGUUUGAAGGUAAAACUUGUGCUUCCGGGUUGCAACAAUUAUCGCCAAAGUUAGCUUUUGAAUUUUUAAUAGCAUCGAGAAGAGCUUUUGAACUGUCGAAUACAGGUAGUCGGGGCCCCAUCUCUUCUCGUAUGAUGGU